ensembl:ncRNA mir-4942 mir-4942 stem loop
UAUGAAUACAUAUAUUUUUAUGUUUGAGUCAACAUCGAGUUGCCGAUGUUUGGAAAACAUCGAUGACAUCGCUGUUGGCAUCGAAAUAUGUCCAUAUCUAAUAUAUAGUU